rnacentral:rRNA from 1 species
GACGAACGCUGGCGGCGUGCUUAACACAUGCAAGUCGAACGGAAAGGCCCUGCUUUUGUGGGGUGCUCGAGUGGCGAACGGGUGAGUAACACGUGAGUAACCUGCCCUUGACUUUGGGAUAACUUCAGGAAACGGGGGCUAAUACCGGAUAGGAGCCCCUGCUGCAUGGUGGGGGUUGGAAAGUUUCGGCGGUUGGGGAUGGACUCGCGGCUUAUCAGCUUGUUGGUGGGGUAGGGGCUUACCAAGGCUUUGACGGGUAGCCGGCCUGAGAGGGUGACCGGCCACCUUGGGCCUGCGAUACGGCCCAGACUCCUACGGGAGGCAGCAGUGGGGAAUAUUGCACAAUGGGCGGAAGCCUGAUGCAGCAACGCCGCGUGCGGGAUGACGGCCUUCGGGUUGUAAACAGCUUUCGCCUGUGACGAAGCGUGAGUGACGGUACUGGGUAAAGAAGCACCGGCUAACUACGUG